rnacentral:rRNA from 1 species
UACGUAGGGUGCAAGCGUUAAUCGGAAUUACUGGGCGUAAAGCGUGCGCAGGCGGUUAUGUAAGACAGAUGUGAAAUCCCCGGGCUCAACCUGGGAACUGCAUUUGUGACUGCAGGGCUAGAGUACGGUAGAGGGGGAUGGAAUUCCGCGUGUAGCAGUGAAAUGCGUAGAUAUGCGGAGGAACACCGAUGGCGAAGGCAAUCCCCUGGACCUGUACUGACGCUCAUGCACGAAAGCGUGGGGAGCAAACAGG